rnacentral:tRNA from 1 species
GCGGGUAUGGCGGAAUUGGCAGACGCGUCGGAUUUAGGUUCCGAUGGGCAACCGUGCAGGUUCAAGUCCUGUUACCCGUACCA